rnacentral:lncRNA from 1 species
GAGUCUACUCAGUUUUCCAGAAGGGAAAAAGGCGAGAGCUGAGUUUAGACCUGGACACCUUUCUAAAUAUCAUAGAGCAAAAGUAAAUUGCCCCAUUAAGGCUUGCACAUUACACUUAGGGUAAGUACUGUUCAACUUUCCUUUUUUAUAGGAGUUGCCUGCCUUAACUUUUCAGCUUAAUACGAGCAGCGUAAAUUAAGAAAAAAAAUUAACUCAAUCAGUUAUUUCACUGAAAUAGAAAAUUUGCAGAUUUUAAAGGGUAUCUAUUGUGCAUAAAUUUGGGGAUACGAGAAUUUGCCAGUGAAAUGAUAGCAGCUCUGUGCUUACAGAGCAAAGAUGUGCUAGUCUGAACAUGCCUGAUCUCAUCUGGAAUCGAAAGCUAAAUCUAGGUGGGCCUGUAAUAAUACCAGAAAAGGAACACAUGUAUCUUUUGUGCAACCUUUUUUUUUUUUUUUUUUUAAAGCUAGGCUUCCAAAGGGAAUGACAAAGAAGCAGGUUCUCCUCUUGCUUAAUAAGUAGUCAUAGUUUGCCUCUGGAGAUAUGUAUUUCCAGUUGUUUUAGUUGUUUUGUUUUGUUUUGUUUUGUUGUUGUCAUCGCUAUCGAAGAAUAUUCUUUCCUGUCAGUGAUUAUUAACACUUUCCGUUUUUCAGAAUGCUUUAACUCUGUUUGAUGUUUCCUCACUUGGUUACCUUUCUCAAGUCUGCGAUGACCCUCUCAGGCUUUGCCAUUCUUAUCGAUUCUUACCAGAAUGUACUUACUCAUUAGCUGUUUUGUUAUAGUUAUGGUGGAGAUAAUCUUGUUUUUCAGGCUUUUAUAACUAACCAAACAAAUUACCUUUUGAGGUGAAAUUUCUCAUAGUUAUCCUUGACACAGAACUGAACUUGUCUUGAAAAGGCUUGAAGAAAAUCCAAUUAGCCGUUUUUUGAGAACUGAAUAUUCUAAUAAAUGCAAAUGGAUUAUUUUACAAAAUACUUAUUGAUGUGCAAUGCUUUUCUAAUCUGUUUUUCUUUUCGUGCUUUAAAACAGACCCUGAAAAUUAAAUGUAUUAAAAAGAAAGAAAGAAAAAGAAAGAAACCUGCCAGGUUAAUACUGAUAUUUUAAAUACCCAAUUUAAAAUAAUGCUCAAAGUUUGAAUUUCUUUGCAACAUAUCACCUUUCAGUGUCAGUCAGUAAUACCUGGGCAGGUAUAUAUAUACAUUCACACCCACAGGGAAACAUGAAUCCACUUUACAGUUACAUUAAUUCUAUUUUAACCUACAAGAGAAAAGGUUAGCAUUACUGUAAAACUUUUGUUAAUUCAUUAUAUUUUAUUUUUCUGUAAUAAAAAAUUCACUGAACUAUUGCUUUCAUCCAAUUAUAUAUAUACUUAACACCCAUUUAUAUUCAAAUAUUUUAUCUUAAUUUAUGAAGUAUUUUUAUAAGUCUUAUAUGCUGCUGAAUUUUAUGCAGCUAUAUGAACGUUUAAGUUUUUUCUGAUACAAUUUGCUUUGUUCCGAAUCUGUUACUGUGUUAGAAGUUUUUUUCUUUCCCAAUCUAGAAAGAGUAUGGCCAUCUUUUCCUAUAUGUGAUAUCUAUACAUCUUCAGUAUUCUGAAGAAGAGAUUUUUUAACCUGCAAUCUCUUGGAAAGCUUUCAAACAAGUGGGAGAAGUAAUCUUUACUUUGCUUCUCCUUGAUCCAUCUGUUUGCCCUCACUGUACCACCCGUCACCACCAGCAACCCUGAAAAAAACAACAGUAAUAAAUAUGAUACGAUAAUUUUUCUGAUCACAGAACCAGGAAAUACCAGAGAAAAUUGUGGCAUAUGUAGGAAAAUGCCAAGAGCUUCUCCAGUAAGAUCAGCUGUUUUUAUACUUUUUUUUUUUCCUCUUGAAUUUUGUUUGUGACUUUUUUGGCUUGCUGAAGCACAUCCCCAUAAUCUUACGAAGCCACAGCAAAUUCCCAAUGCCACAACAAUACUGUGCAGCCGGGGAGAGGCCAGAAGAGCUGAUCCUGGGUGGCUGCAGGCUUCCCCAGCAAUGGUGCAAGGCAGGAGGAUGUGUAAUCUGGUCUAAAUUUGAAGAAGAGGGCAAGUAUAGCAUUUUUAUCUAGCUUGAAUAUGGCAUGGUAAUUCUGUAUUAAUGAGGUCAAUGGUAAAUGCAGUUCAGCUACACAUUUCUGUUUUUCCAGACAUACAAACACAUUCUGUGGAAAUAGAAAAUGUCUAAAAAAUGGAAAUGAUGAAAUAACUUGAGACAUGACAAAUCGCUUAACCUAUCUGUGUAAUAGUGUAUUUGUCAAAUAAAUAGAAAACCAUCUAUCCUCAUCUACUUCACAGCAGUAUUGCUAAGGCUGAUUGUGCACACAUAUAUUAAUGUAUAUAUCGUAGCUAUCUAUUUACAGCAGGGGAGAAUGGUUUUAAAAUAAAUGAAUCAGAGUUUUAUGUGUGCAUCCAUUGUGAAGAAUUCAGUUGUGUCCUUACCGUAGGAAGACAGGGUUAACUGAGAGUUUUGAGAGUUGUGGUAUGUGCUUUUCCAUUUGGGUCUGGG